AGUGAACGCUGGCGGUAGGCCUAACACAUGCAAGUCGAACGGCAGCACAGUAAGAGCUUGCUCUUACGGGUGGCGAGUGGCGGACGGGUGAGGAAUACAUCGGAAUCUACUUUUUCGUGGGGGAUAACGUAGGGAAACUUACGCUAAUACCGCAUACGACCUACGGGUGAAAGCAGGGGAUCUUCGCACCUUGCGCGAUUGAAUGAGCCGAUGUCGGAUUAGCUAGUUGGCGGGGUAAAGGCCCACCAAGGCGACGAUGCGUAGCUGGUCUGAGAGGAUGAUCAGCCACACUGGAACUGAGACACGGUCCAGGCUCCUACGGGAGGCAGCAGUGGGGAAUAUUGGACAAUGGGCGCAAGCCUGAUCCAGCCAUACCGCGUGGGUGAAGAAGGCCUUCGGGUUGUAAAGCCCUUUUGUUGGGAAAGAAAAGCAGCAGGUGAAUACCCCGCUGUUCUGACGGUACCCAAAGAAUAAGCACCGGCUAACUUCGUG
rnacentral:rRNA from 1 species